rnacentral:rRNA from 1 species
CGAGUUUGAUCCUGGCUCAGAUUGAACGCUGGCGGAAUGCUUUACACAUGCAAGUCGAACGGCAGCACGGGGGCAACCCUGGUGGCGAGUGGCGAACGGGUGAGUAAUACAUCGGAACGUGCCCAGUCGUGGGGGAUAACGUAGCGAAAGCUACGCUAAUACCGCAUACGAUCUACGGAUGAAAGCGGGGGAUCGCAAGACCUCGCGCGAUUGGAGCGGCCGAUGGCAGAUUAGGUAGUUGGUGGGGUAAAGGCUCACCAAGCCUUCGAUCUGUAGCUGGUCUGAGAGGACGACCAGCCACACUGGGACUGAGACACGGCCCAGACUCCUACGGGAGGCAGCAGUGGGGAAUUUUGGACAAUGGGCGAAAGCCUGAUCCAGCCAUUCCGCGUGCAGGAUGAAGGCCCUCGGGUUGUAAACUGCUUUUGUACGGAACGAAACGGCCUUUUCUAAUACAGAGGGCUAAUGACGGUACCGUAAGAAUAAGCACCGGCUAACUACGUG